rnacentral:rRNA from 1 species
CGGGACACGUGGUAUCCUGUCUGAAUAUGGGGGGACCAUCCUCCAAGGCUAAAUACUCCUGACUGACCGAUAGUGAACCAGUACCGUGAGGGAAAGGCGAAAAGAACCCCGGCGAGGGGAGUGAAAAAGAACCUGAAACCGUGUACGUACAAGCAGUGGGAGCCUCUUAAUGGGGUGACUGCGUACCUUUUGUAUAAUGGGUCAGCGACUUAUAUUCUGUAGCAAGGUUAACCGAAUAGGGGAGCCGAAGGGAAACCGAGUCUUAACUGGGCGUUAAGUUGCAGGGUAUAGACCCGAAACCCGGUGAUCUAGCCAUGGGCAGGUUGAAGGUUGGGUAACACUAACUGGAGGACCGAACCGACUAAUGUUGAAAAAUUAGCGGAUGACUUGUGGCUGGGGGUGAAAGGCCAAUCAAACCGGGAGAUAGCUGGUUCUCCCCGAAAGCUAUUUAGGUAGCGCCUCGUGAAUUCAUCUCCGGGGGUAGAGCACUGUUUCGGCAAGGGGGUCAUCCCGACUUACCAACCCGAUGCAAACUGCGAAUACCGGAGAAUGUUAUCACGGGAGACACACGGCGGGUGCUAACGUCCGUCGUGAAGAGGGAAACAACCCAGACCGCCAGCUAAGGUCCCAAAGUCAUGGUUAAGUGGGAAACGAUGUGGGAAGGCCCAGACAGCCAGGAUGUUGGCUUAGAAGCAGCCAUCAUUUAAAGAAAGCGUAAUAGCUCACUGGUCGAGUCGGCCUGCGCGGAAGAUGUAACGGGGCUAAACCAUGCACCGAAGCUGCGGCAGCGACGUUUAUGCGUUGUUGGGUAGGGGAGCGUUC